UACAGAGGGUGCAAGCGUUUGUUCGGAAUUACUGGGCGUAAAGCGUGCGCAGGCGGUUUUGUAAGUCUGACGUGAAAUCCCCGGGCUUAACCUGGGAAUUGCGUUUGGAGACUGCAAGGCUGGAGUCUGGCAGAGGGGGGGUAGAAUUCCACGUGUGAGCAGUGAAAUGCGUAGAGAUGUGGAGGAACACCGAUGGCGAAGGCAGCCCCCCUGGGUCAAGAC
rnacentral:rRNA from 1 species